GUCUCUGGGCUCGCGGCCCCCGGAGGCCCGUCUCUGCUGCGCGGUUUUUCUAGAUCAGCUCUUUCUGUGUCGCUUUCUUUAGAUCAUCUGCUCCUUGAGGGGCCGGGGUCUCCACGGUCCCCAGGACGUGCCCUCCCUCUCGCAGACUCCUGGGCGGCCGAUUUCUCCUUCCCUGAAGUGAAGCGGGAAGCACGCCCACCCUCUCCAGCCCGUUUUUAACCGGUUGCUCACCUAAGCACCUUUUUAAAGUGGAAAAAGGGCAUCACGCUGGGAGGCUGAGCCGGGAACCCCGGAACCAGUGCUGGAGCGACAGCAGUGAACACAGGAGCCAAGCCGUCUGUCCUCACAGGGUUUUCGUUCUACAGGAAGUACAAUAAAGAAGUCCUCACGCAGUGGGACACACGCACACUUGUGUGCACACACUCAAGACUGCUUGAAGAUUCAGCUUUACUCAAGUGCAAUUUUCCCAGAGAUUCUCCUACUUCAUUCCUCGGACCCUUGGACCCUAAAGCAGGCCGCCAACAUACCAGACCCGUGCAGGCCUCUGGCAGCUGACGCUCACCGCGGGGCUGGGAAGUUUGUGCCUUCCAGGUCACUGCCUGUGCUUGGUUUGUGCCAGUCACGGACACAACCGAUGCAGGCUUUACUUAGUUCACCCAAAUGUUGAUGACCCAGGUGCCCUAGUAUGGUCUUUACAAGUAGGCAGAAUAACACCCCACCCCCCAAAUAGCUGCCUCUUAAUAUCCAGAACCUGUGACGAUGCUACCUUAUGUGGCAAAAGGGCUUUGUAGAUGUGACUAAGUUAAAGAUUUUCAUUAAAAAAAAAUUUUAAA